rnacentral:ribozyme from 1 species
AAACAUAUAUUUAAGAGAUGAGAGAGAGAGAGCGAAAAAAGAGAGAGAAAAACUUAAACUUAAAUAUAUAAUUCAUGAAUCCUCUUUACUCUGUCCUUCUUUCUCUUCCUCUCUCUCUUCUUCUCUCUCUUCCUCUUCUUCUCUCUCUUCUUCUUAUUUAUCUGAUGAGGUAGAUGAUAAAAAAGAGAGGAAAAUCCAGAAGAGUAAUGAAGAAAGAGAAA